rnacentral:tRNA from 1 species
GGGACACUAGUAAAAAAGCCAUUGCACUGCAUUGUCAAGGCAGAGUUGUAGGUUAAACUCCUGCGUGUCCCUAACCUAAUGGCACACCCUUCACAACUCGGAUUCCAAGACGCAGCCUCCCCCGUAAUAGAAGAACUACUUCACUUCCACGACCACGCAUUAAUGAUCGUCCUUCUAAUCAGCACCUUUGUCCUUUAUAUCCUAGUAGCAAUGGUUUCCACAACACUCACAGAUAAGUAUAUCUUGGACUCCCAAGAGAUUGAAAUCAUCUGAACUGUUCUCCCAGCUGUAAUUCUUAUCCUAAUUGCCCUCCCCUCCCUUCGCAUCCUAUAUCUUAUGGACGAAAUUAGCGACCCGCACCUAACAAUCAAAGCGAUAGGCCAUCAAUGAUACUGAAGCUACGAAUAUACCGACUACGAAGACCUUGGGUUUGACUCCUACAUGGUCCCCACACAAGACCUCACCCCCGGUCAAUUUCGCCUUUUGGAAGCCGACCACCGGAUAGUUAUCCCCGUUGAAUCCCCCAUCCGAAUUUUAGUUUCAGCCGAAGAUGUUCUUCACUCAUGGGCCGUACCUGCCCUCGGGGUAAAAAUAGACGCAGUGCCAGGACGACUAAACCAAACAGCCUUUAUUACCUCCCGCCCAGGGGUGUUCUACGGACAGUGCUCUGAAAUUUGCGGGGCCAAUCAUAGCUUCAUGCCCAUCGUAGUUGAAGCAGUACCCCUAGAGCACUUUGAAACAUGAUCCUCUUUAAUACUUGAAGACGCCUCACUAUGAAGCUAAAUUUAGGGGAUCAGCGUUAGCCUUUUAAGCUAAAGAAUGGUGGCUCCCAACCACCCCUAGUGACUUAUGCCUCAAUUAAACCCUAGCCCGUGAUUCGCGAUUUUAGUAUUUGCUUGGGCCAUCUUUCUAGUUGUGAUCCCUCCCAAAGUUCUUAGCCAUGUAUACCCCUACGACCCUGCAGCCCAAAACGUAGAAAAACCUGUGCACGCCUCCUGAUCCUGACCAUGAUACUAAACUUCUUCGACCAGUUUAUAAGCCCAACGCUCCUGGGUAUCCCUCUAAUUGUCCU